UACUCCUACGGGAGGCAGCAGGGAGGAAUAUUGGGCAAUGGGGGAAACCCUGACCCAGCAACGCCGCGUGAAGGAAGAAGGCCCUCGGGUUGUAAACUUCUGUGACAGGGGACGAAAAAAAUGACGGUACCCUGAGAGGAAGCCACGGCAAACUACGUGCCAGCAGCCGCGGUAAGA
rnacentral:rRNA from 1 species